rnacentral:rRNA from 1 species
AAAAUCCGCGCGGCUUAGCUGAGGCAUGAUAACGAGGGCCCUCGGGCCCGAAGCAACUGAUACCCUGCUUCCAGGAAAAGCCUCUAAGCUUCAGUCAUAGAGUGACCGUACCGCAAACCGACACAGGUGGGCUAGUAGAGAAUACCAAGGCGCUUGAGAGAACUCAGGAGAAGGGACUCGGCAAAUUGAUACCGUAACUUCGGGAGAAGGUAUGCCCCGUUAGCUUGUAGGAGUACAUCCGAAGGGCGAAGGGGCCGCAGAGAAUCGGUGGCUGCGACUGUUUAUUAAAAACACAGCACUGUGCAAACACGAAAGUGGACGUAUACGGUGUGACGCCUGCCCGGUGCCGGAAGGUUAAGUGAUGGGGUGCAAGCUCUUGAUCGAAGCCCCGGUAAACGGCGGCCGUAACAAUAACGGUCCUAAGGUAGCGAAAUUCCUUGUCGGGUAAGUUCCGACCUGCACGAAUGGCGUAACGAUGGCCACACUGUCUCCUCCUGAGACACAGCGAAGUUGAAAUGUUUGUGAAGAUGCAAUCUACCCGCGGCUAGACGGAAAGACCCCAUGAACCUUUACUGUAGCUUUGCAUUGGACUUUGACGGGAUUUGUGUAGGAUAGGUGGGAGGCUAUGAAACCAGGACGCUAGUUCGGGUGGAGCCAACCCUGAAAUACCACCCUGGUGUCGUCGAGGUUCUAACCCAGGUCUGUGAAUCCAGAUCGGGGACCGUGCAUGGUGGGCAGUUUGACUGGGGCGGUCUCCUCCUAAAGCGUAACGGAGGAGUGCGAAGGUCACCUAGGUACGGUCGGACAUCGUACUGAUAGUGCAAUGGCAAAAGGUGGCUUGACUGCGAGACCCACAAGUCGAGCAGGUGCGAAAGCAGGUCAUAGUGAUCCGGUGGUUCUGUAUGGAAGGGCCAUCGCUCAACGGAUAAAAGGUACUCUGGGGAUAACAGGCUGAUUCCGCCCAAGAGUUCACAUCGACGGCGGAGUUUGGCACCUCGAUGUCGGCUCAUCACAUCCUGGGGCUGUAGCCGGUCCCAAGGGUAUGGCUGUUCGCCAUUUAAAGUGGUACGUGAGCUGGGUUUAAAACGUCGUGAGACAGUUUGGUCCCUAUCUGCCGUGGGCGCUGGAAGUUUGAGAGGGCUUGCUCCUAGUACGAGAGGACCGGAGUGAACGCACCCCUGGUGUACCGGUUGUGACGCCAGUCGCAUCGCCGGGUAGCUAUGUGCGGAAGAGAUAACCGCUGAAAACAUCUAAGCGGGAAACUUGCCUCAAGAUGAGACUUCCCCGGGGCCUCGAGCCCCCUGAAGGGUCGUUGAAGACCACAACGUUGAUAGGUCGGGUGUGGAAGCGUGGCAACACGUUAAGCUAACCGAUACUAAUUGCCCGUGUGGCUUGAUCCU